UUCGGUGGUGAGUGGCGAACGGGUGAGUAAAAGAUAAGUAACCUGCCCUAGGCAGGGGGAUAACGACCGGAAACGGACGCUAAAACCGCAUAGGCUGGGAGAUCGCAUGAGAAUCCAGUUAAAUGUCCUGAAAGGGACAGGCAAAGGAGGGACUUAUCACGCAUUAGCUAGUUGGUGGGGCAACGGCCUACCAAGGCGACGAUGCGUAGCCGGCCUGAGAGGGCGGACGGCCACACUGGGACUGAGACACGGCCCAGACUCCUACGGGAGGCAGCAGUAGGGAAUUUUCGGCAAUGGGCGAAAGCCUGACCGAGCAACGCCGCGUGAACGAAGAAGGUCUUCGGAUUGUAAAGUUCUGUUAUAGAGGAAGAACGGUGUACGUAGGAAAUGACGUACAAGUGACGGUACUCUGUGAGGAAGCCACGGCUAACUACGUGCCAGCAGCCGCGGUAAUACGUAGGUGGCGAGCGUUAUCCGGAAUGAUUGGGCGUAAAGGGUGCGUAGGCGGCCUGCUAAGUCUGGAGUGAAAGGUACCGGCUCAACCGGUACAGGCUCUGGAAACUGGCGGGCUAGAGAGCAGGAGAGGGCGGUGGAACUCCAUGUGUAGCGGUAAAAUGCGUAGAUAUAUGGAAGAACACCAGUGGCGAAGGCGGCCGCCUGGCCUGUUACUGACGCUGAGGCACGAAAGCGUGGGGAGCAAAUAGGAUUAGAUACCCUAGUAGUCCACGCCGUANACGAUGAGGACCAAGUGUUGGGGAAGACCCAGUGCUGCAGUUANCGCAGUGAGUCCUCCGCCUGGGGAGUAUGCACGCAAGUGUGAAACUCAAAGGAAUUGACGGGGGCC
rnacentral:rRNA from 1 species